UACGAAGGUCCCGAGCGUUGUUCGGAUUUACUGGGCGUAAAGCGUCUGUAGGCGGCGCAGCAAGUCAGAUGUGAAAGCCCGGGGCUCAACCCCGGAACUGCAUCCGAUACUGCUGUGCUGGAGGAUCGGAGGGGAGUCUGGAAUUCACGGUGUAGCAGUGAAAUGCGUAGAUAUCGUGAGGAACACUAGUGGCGAAGGCGAGACUCUGGACGAUUCCUGACGCUGAGAGACGAAGGCCAGGGGAGCAAAAAGG
rnacentral:rRNA from 1 species